rnacentral:misc_RNA from 1 species
CUGGGACCUAAGGAAGUUGAAGAAGUUGGAGGCCUUGAAGAGUUGGAAAAAGAGAUCAAUAGGAGAAUAAAAUCCUACAAAAGCAGCUAAUGGGAUCAGUUUUUGGAUGAUCUGUUAAUGUAUAGAAACAAUAAUGGUCAAUGAAAUCAAUUAUUAACCCAAAAAGGAGAAAAAUAUAUAGAAUUCCAUAUUACAAAUGGAGAUGGGUUUAUCAAUUUUUCACUUUAUGUGGGAACCAUACCUAAAAGUACAGCAAUCUGUGGACAAACAUGUAGGCCAUCAAGUAUUACUGUUUUCAGCUUGAGAUUAUUGUAAAUGUGUGUGAUUGUAUUAAUCUCAUAGACUCCGUCUAAUUAACAAUAGAAAGAAAUAUAAUAGAAUGUAAAAAAUUGAUAAACCCAUCUCCA